ensembl:lncRNA
GUUUACAUUACAGCCUGCUGGUCGAUGGUCAGGUGAGCUAUCCUAUCCACAGCUGGCCAUAUCAACAUGGUGACGAGGGCCAUUCUGUCAACACAGGCCUGGGAUUUACGUAAAGAAACAGGGGUGCUGUUUGAGCGUGUGGCGAUGGAUCUGGUGGGUCCAUUGGUGAAGACCGCGAGGGGACACCAAUACAUCAUGGUAACCGUGGUUUAUGCCAUCCGGUAUCCUGAGAUGAUCCCAUUACACACGGCGGUAGCGAAAGGUAUCGCACGGGAUCUCUGUGCUACAGAUCGGGGCUCCAGCAUGGCAAUGCGAACGCCCUCUCCAGGAGGGAUGCAAACUUAGCCCUGAACACGCCUCCCUCCUGUAGGGCUAAGGGGGGAGGGGGGGUACUCCCUCUGCUGGGAGUACACGGGCUGGGCACCCCAACACGGAUGGCUCCAAUUACAGGUACGUGCCAACCAGCCAGAGAGGCCACAUAAAAGGAGCACUGUGGCACACCGAGGGGGAGAACCGAGAGACCGUUACAGAGCAGAAGCUGAGAAGAAGGACCAAGCCAAACCUACGUGAUUUCGUUGUUCUGUUUAUUUUAUUGCCUAGUAAAGUCGUGUUUGUUGACUAGAACCUCCC